UACACACCGCCCGUCACGUCAUGGGAGUCGGUAACACCUGAAGUCGGUGAGCUAACCCGCAAGGGAGGCAGCCGCCCAAGGUGGGACUGGCGACUGGGACG
rnacentral:rRNA from 1 species